UCUCUGGUGGUCCAGUGGCCCAGAUCCUGCACUCCCAAUCCAGAGAGCCCAGGUUCGAUCCCUGGUCAUGGAA
rfam:TPA: Bos taurus chromosome 5, whole genome shotgun sequence.